rnacentral:lncRNA from 1 species
CGUGCAGGUUUUAUUUGACCUUGACCUGGUUUUCACGGUUCAUUGCUCAGUGUUAAGUUUUUGUGUUUUGGUCUAUUUUCUUAAACUAUAAGCAAUAGGCUCAACUAUAUUUGUCAUGUUUGUUGUAUGGAAGCAUUGUUAGCUGUACAUGUCUGCCUGGCAUAUGGUUCAACUGACCUUGACCUCAUUUUCAUGAUUCAUGUUAAGUUUAUGUGACAGUCGUAAUAAAGCUUUAUAUUUAGGAGUAUCAACAUAAUAUCAAUGAUUAGUAAAGAAGGCGAGACAUUUCAGUGUGUGCACUCUUGUACUAUUUAGAAUCCUUGUUUUAGAAGUUUCCAUGUAAGCAGCAACACUUUAUCCAC